UUGAUAUAACUAGUUUUAAUUUUAUUUAUUUAGAGAUAUAAAGAUUUAAAGUAACUUAAUGAAAUAAUAUAUUAACUAUAGAAUAUUAGUACUGUGAAGGAAAAUUGAAAUAUUUGAAAAUUUUUCAUAAAAAAAGUACUUAUUAUAUAAAGGUACCUUUUGUAUCAGAGAUUAUCAAAAUAAUUCUUAUAUAAUGAUUUCUCGAAAAUAAAAGAUCUAAAUGUAUUAUAAUUUUUUUGUGUCAGAAAAAUUUUUAAAAUAUAUUUAGUUGUAAAAUUCUAAUCGCUUUUAUUUAUAUCUAGUAACUUUAGAAGUAAAUUUAGUUUAUGAUAAUUAGAAACAUUUUAUUUUUAAUAAGUUUUAAAAUUAUUUUUAAAUUUAUGGGGAUGAGCUCAUAAAUAAACUUAAAAGAAUAUAACUAUUAGUAAUUUUUUUGUAAGCUUAGAAUUAGCUAUUAGAAAAUGUUAUAAAAAAUAAACUUAAAUAUUAGAUUUAAAUUUCUUUUUUGAAUAUAAAGUUAAUUAAAAAACUAAUUUAUUUUUGAAAAUAUGAUAAUAUUAGUAGAUAAAAUUGUUUUGAAUUGAUUAUAAAUCAUUCUUUUUCAUUUUAUAUAUAAACUUUAACAAAAGAACUAGGCAAACAAAAUUUCCGAAUGUUUAACAAAAACAUUUCCUCUUAGAUGAAGAGGUAAGGCCUGCUCACUGAUUUUUAAAGAGCCGCAGUAUUCUAACUGUGCUAAGGUAGCAUAAUCAUUAGUCUUUUAAUUGGAGACUGGUAUGAAUGGCUUAACGAGAAAUUAACUUUUUUUGUUAUAAAGAUUGAAUUUAAUUUUUUAGUGAAAAAGCUAAAAUUGUUCAGAAAGACGAGAAGACCCUAUAGAGUUUUAUGUUUAAAAGAAUAAAUUUUUAUUAGAUUUAUGAAUUAUUUAUUUUUAUAUACAUUUUGUUGGGGCGACAUAAAGAUAAAUAAAACUCUUUAUAUUAAAAAUUUUUGUAAAAAUAUUUUUGAUCCUUUAUAAGAGAUUAUAAGAAAAAAUUACCUUAGGGAUAACAGCGUAAUCUUUUUUAAGAGUUCUAAUCGACAAAAAGGUUUGCGACCUCGAUGUUGGACUAAAAUUUAGGCAGGGUGCAGCAGUUCUGCUUUAAGGUCUGUUCGACCUAUAAAAUUUUACACGAUCUGAGUUCAGACCGGCGUAAGCCAGGUUGGUUUCUAUCUUCUGAUUUUUAAUAUUUCAAUUUAGUACGAAAGGAUUGGUUGAUUAUAAAUUUUAUAAUUUUUAGAGGUUUAUUAAAUUUUUUUAA
rnacentral:rRNA from 1 species